AGAGAUUAAAGCGUGAAUCUGAAUCAA
rnacentral:sRNA from 1 species